UACAGAGGUCCCAACCGUUGUUCGGAUUCAUUGGGCGUAAAGGGUGCGUAGGCGGCGCGGUAAGUCGGAUGUGAAAUCUCGGAGCUUAACUUCGAAACUGCAUUCGAUACUGCCGUGCUUGAGGACUGGAGAGGAGACUGGAAUUUACGGUGUAGCGGUGAAAUGCGUAGAUAUCGUAAGGAAGACCAGUGGCGAAGGCGGGUCUCUGGACAGUUCCUGACGCUGAGGCACGAAGGUCAGGGGAGCAAACGGG
rnacentral:rRNA from 1 species